AGAGUUUGAUCCUGGCUCAGAACGAACGCUGGCGGCGUGCCUAACACAUGCAAGUCGAGCGAGAACGCCUGCUUCGGCAGGUUAGUAAAGCGGCGAACGGGUGAGUAACACGUGAGUCACCUACCCUCCAGUAGGGGAUAACACUUCGAAAGGUGUGCUAAUACCGUGUACGGUCCCGACCGUGUCUGCGGAUGGGACGAAAGGUGGCCUCUCUAUAGAAGCUGCCGCUGGGGGAUGGGCUCGCGCCCCAUUAGCUAGUUGGUAGGGUAACGGCCUACCAAGGCAACGAUGGGUAGCUGGUCUGAGAGGACGAUCAGCCACACUGGAACUGAGACACGGUCCAGACUCCUACGGGAGGCAGCAGUGGGGAAUAUUGCACAAUGGGGGAAACCCUGAUGCAGCAACGCCGCGUGCGGGAUGAAGGCCUUCGGGUCGUAAACCGCUGUCAGGGGGGAAGAAAUCGCUCCGGUGAAUAGCCGGAGUGGAUGACGGUACCCCCAGAGGAAGCCCCGGCUAACUCCGUGCCAGCAGCCGCGGUAAGACGGAGGGGGCGAGCGUUGUUCGGAAUCAUUGGGCGUAAAGCGCGCGUAGGCGGUCGAGUAAGUCGGACGUGAAAGCCCAGGGCUCAACCCUGGAAGUGCGUUCGAUA
rnacentral:rRNA from 1 species